rnacentral:misc_RNA from 1 species
UUUGCACAGAAAAAAAAAAAUUUAAAUGCCACCAUCUUUUGCACAAGCAAGUGUUCUAGUUCAUUUAUCCAUUCAACAUCUUCAUCAAAUCUGUAAGCUUAACUUAUACAACUUAGAAUCUUAUCCAAGUUAAGGGGGUGAGGGAUAAAAAGAUUUAUUGUGACACUUUCGUCAAAGAUCCACUUCUGAUGUCUGUCUGUGGAUGCUGGAAAUGAAGAAUAAAAAGAUAAAAAGUCACCAUCUAAAUUUCUUCCCUCUCAAGGUCUCAUUUAUCGGUGGCUCUGGCGGAAGCAACAAAACCUAUAGUUUUUCCGCCAGCUCAACUUCUUCUCUCCCUUUAAACCAUUUUCAUGGAUGCCAUUUACCUCAAUGUUCAUUUGCUUAUUGUCUCGCAAUGUUCCGUCUGUAAUUGGUAGGUCUGCGAUCCCAUCUUUGGAAGAACACAACACCUGGUUACUUUCAAUGGGAAUUGAAAGAUACUGUUCUGGUGAUGCUGGUGCUAUCUUGUUAUGGUUCACUUCCCUUGUGUAAGAAUUUGAUCCCACAGGCCUGCUGAACAAGAUCAAACCAGUAACCAAAUUAUAGUAUGGUAUAUAGCAACUAAAGACAAUCAAAAGAUGUAUGAUGAGAAAAUAAAUUUGCCAUGCUCUUUGGUUUUUGGAGCAAUUUAAAGAAAGCAGAUGUUUUAAAGGCUCAUUCUUAAGCAUUCCCUGGUUGUCAUUUUACCCAGAAACAGAACCAAGGUAAUCGGCCAUUAACAUUUUUUCUUGAAAAAGAAAAAGAUUUAGAUCCAACUUUUUGCUUCUUUGCCUGAUAAAACAUCACCGCAAAAAGCAGCUCAAUCUUUUUCCACUUAAAAAGAAAGUAAAGAGAUGCAGCGAAUACUUUAUAUGAAGUAGGAGGAGAAUAAGAAUUUCUUCUCUUCUUAUGUCCAGUCAAGAAAGGAGAUGACAUAUAAUUGUUACCAUAAUGAAAUUUUUCCUAAACGAAAAUAUUGAAAUGGAACAAAGUGGAGAACAAAAUGAAAACAAAGUGAAAAAAGAAUUAUAUGAUUCAUGUCCAAAAUAUUUGUGAUCAUGGAAUUUGGAUGAUUAGCAUUACCAUCGCCACCAUCAUUAUCAUUACCAAGAUUAUGAUAGGAAUAUGUUAACAUUAAGUACCUGACAUCACGAUCGCAGGAGCUAUUCUUGGAUUCAUGUGAAAUCCUCUCCACAGUUGUAACUUCUUCGGAUACUUCAACAGAGACCUCAUAGUCUGAAGAUUCUCCAUCUUCUACAAAAGUUGAAUCCUUUUCUGCACCCUUUUGUAGAUUUGGAGUACCUUCACUGAUUAAGCCAGAGGAAAACCUGCCUAGACUCUUAAAUCCAUGUUCCCGGACCAAAGAAAUGGCCUGCUCUAGAGUUUUUAAAGCUUGUUCUACCUCAGGACUAACAUGAAUAUUUGUUUUGCAGUUCACAAGACUCUCCUGUACAACUUUAUCAGUUAAGGGUUGACCUAUACUUUUGCCACAGUUCUUUAAUUCUACACUAACAUCACUCUCUUCUUCCUCAAUUUCGCCAAAUGUUUUCAUGCCUGUAGUCAGAGUAGUAUUUUGCAAAAUUUCAAUCACACUGUCAUUGCUAUGAACUUUCUGUUCUGUGUUGUCAAUUUCAUCUUUCAAUUGUAUGAUUUCUUCACUCUCAUUUUCUUCAAUCUCAUAAAAAACUUUCUUGUCUGUAACUUGUGCAUUCUCUGGCAUGGAUUCACUUGCACUUUCACCUCCCUGAACCUUCUGUUCCAUUUCCUCCAAGUUUUUCUGCAUAUCUUUCAGAGGAUGCUCUUGCGAUGGAAGGCAUGCAUCAUUCUUGAGUUCUUUCCCUUCCAUAGUUUCAUUUGCCUCAUCAGUGGAAUGAAGAGACUUGCGUAUUCGAGCAUACAUUGGAUCCUCCAAAGCUUUACUAUAAUCUUCAUCAUAGCUGGACACAGAAGCCACUGCCUGUAGUAGUUUAGAAAUUGGCAGUCAGAGAAACAGUUGAACAAUGAACAGGAAUCAUGCAUUCAUGAGAACGCAAGGAUGUAUCCUCAUGCAUGGGCCAUCAGAUGCAGACCCUUACCAACCUAUUGAGUUGAAAUGCAGUAGAUCCCAAUGUGCCCUUAGUUUCACACCCUUAUAAUGUAAGACAAUAGAUAGAAAAUUCAAGACCCUGCAGCUCUCAUUGCAGCUAGAACACAAGAGUGCCUCUACAGAAGUUAUUUUGGCUGGUGCCAGUUUUAGUAAUUCUGUGAAGAGCCUGAAGCCUUUAAAGAGCCAAAUGAGUUGGUCCCAUUGGCUGGUGUUCAGUGCACAAAAAUGAUCCCAAACCAAAUAAUGAAGGGAAGAGCAUCAGAGAAGAAAUGUACAACCUUUUGAUAGAGCUUGAAACCACCACCAAUAAGCUGCCUUGAGAUAAAGUUUAUAAGGGAUGGAGGGACAAAGUCCAGCUUCAAAUCCACGUUUGCUAUAGUCCGAAAGUAGCUUCUUUCUGAGGUCACUUUUUGUAUGGCAAAACCUCCAACAACAUCAAUCCUUACCACAUCCUUCACUUCAGGUAUCCCAUCCCUGGAAAAUCCAUGGGUAGUUUUGUCAAUGCUCUCCAAAUCCGAUAUCUGAAAACAAUAUUGUAAUGAAGUUUUACUUGUUUAGCUUCAACCUAGGAAAGGAUUAGCUGGAUUUCAAAAAGUAUGUCUAGAAAAGUAAUUGCAGCUGAAAUAGUAAUGAAUUUCACCAUUUAAAAAGAAUACCGUGUUUGUAAGAACAACCACCAGACCAUCUUUGAGGUAUUCAAAUAAAAAAUAGUGCACGACUGCCUCCCUAGCUGAUAGUGGCCAUGUUACCUUCACCCUUUCUUCCAAAAUUUAAGAAAAAAUCAGCCUUUUUAAGCUGUGGGAUUGAAUCAAAGGAAUCCAACAAGUUACUUUAAACAACUGCUAAAGUUUAAGCUUGACAAACCUCACUAAACAUAUUUGUUCACCAAUCCGGACUUUUUGCAAACAUUUGCAUACUGUAAUUUUAAAAGGCGGGAAACUAAUCUGUGGCCACCUGGGAAAAAAAAAUUUUAACAAGAUAUCACCAAACUACAGUGAGCUUCAGUCCCACACUAAAAGUUCUUGCCAAACAUCAAUCCUCAUCUCAAACCAUGUAACUCGACAUAUAGUGUCUGUGAUGCAGAGCAUCCCCAAUCCCCAAGAAAUUUUAAAGGCAUAAAAAAAUAAAUAAAGGAAAAUCAAACAAACAUAUGGGCAUUAGCACACACACAUCCUUCCUAUUUUAAGGGCAGGAUCGCCCAUGGAGAUUCUUAUUCUUCUACUCGUGAACCUCCUUACUAAUGAACUCAUUGGUAAGCUAUGGAUAUAAAUGUGCCAUAUAAGCAAUUUUCUUUCUUUAAAGAAAUAAACGAGAAAGAUAUGGUUAACAAAGGAAUAUAGGAAAAAAAAAAAGUUAAUUUUCAAUCAACUUGCGGAUGCUGCAAUUAAAAUUUCACCACAUAAAGAAAAAUAUUAAAUUCGCAACAUGUACAUCUGUUUUAUCUCAUGAACUCAUAAAAAUCAUCUCAGUGAACAUGACACAUUACAAAAUGAAGCAAUACUCAAAGAUGGACUCAAUUGUUACCAUUUCUUGUAGAGGGCUGACUCCCAAGAAAUACAUAAACAAGUAUCAAUUGGCCCAUCUACAUAGCCUUCAACAAGUAAGGUAUGAAGGGGAGUACCAUGGGGUCCUUCGCGAUACAUCACACGGUACUCUUCCUUAUCAUCCUUUAACUAUCAAGACAAGCAAAUUUCCAUUCACCAUGUGAUGUCUGAGAUGUUUUUGAUGCCUCAUGCUCACA